rnacentral:rRNA from 1 species
AUGAACGCUGACAGAAUGCUUAACACAUGCAAGUCGAUGGGGAAGUGGUGCUUGCACCAUGGCACCCAUGGCGGACGGGUGAGUAACGCGUAAGGGACUUACCUGCAGGACUGGGAUAACAGGGGGAAACUCCUGACAAGACCGGAUAAUGUCAUGGAGCUGCAUGGCUUUUUGAUGAAAGGAGACGCCUGCGGAGAGCCUUGCGUCCUAUUAGCUAGUUGGUGAGGUAAUGGCUCACCAAGGCGAAGAUAGGUAGCCGGCCUGAGAGGGUGGACGGCCACAAGGGGACUGAGAUACGGCCCUUACUCCUACGGGAGGCAGCAGUGGGGAAUAUUGGACAAUGGGGGCAACCCUGAUCCAGCAAUUCUGUGUGCACGAAGAAGGUUUUCGGAUUGUAAAGUGCUUUCAGCAGGGAAGAAGUAAGUGACGGUACCUGCAGAAGAAGCGACGGCUAAAUACGUG